UACGGAGGGUGCAAGCGUUAGUCGGAAUUACUGGGCGUAAAGGGUGCGUAGGCGGGUAAAUAAGUCAGUCGUGAAAUUCCGAGGCUCAACCUCGGAGCUGCGACUGAAACUGUAUACCUAGAGGGAUGGCGGAGAAAACGGAAUUCCACGUGUAGCGGUGAAAUGCGUAGAUAUGUGGAAGAACACCAGUGGCGUAGGCGGUUUUCUAGCCUCCCCCUGACGCUGAGGCACGAAAGCAAGGGGAGCAAACAGG
rnacentral:rRNA from 1 species